AAGAGCCACCACCUGCGC
rnacentral:snRNA from 1 species